UACGUAGGCAGCGAGCGUUGUUCGGAGUUACUGGGCGUAAAGGGUGUGUAGGCGGUUGUUUAAGUUUGGUGUGAAAUCUCCCGGCUACAACUGGGGAGGGUGCGCCGAAUACUGAAUGGACUUGGAGUGCGGGAGAGGAAAGGUGGGAAUUCCUGGUGUAGCGGGUGAAAUGCGUAGAUAUCAGGAGGAACACCGGUGGUGUAAGACGGCUUUCUGGACCGUAACUGACGCUGAGACACGAAAAGCGUGGGGUAGCAAACAGG
rnacentral:rRNA from 1 species